CAUGUGUAGCGGUGAAAUGCGUAGAUAUAUGGAGGAACNCCAGUGGCGAAAGCGGCUCUCUGNUCUGUCACUGACGCUGAGGCUCGAAAGCGUGGGUAGCGANCAGGAUUAGAUACCCUGGUAGUNCACGCCGUAAACGAUGAGUGCUAGGUGUUAGGCCCUUUCCGGGGCUUAGUGCCGGAGCUAACGCAAUAAGCACUCCGCCUGGGGAGUACGACCGCAAGGUUGAAACUCAAAGGAAUUGACGGGGGCCCGCACAAGCGGUGGAGCAUGUGGUUUAAUUCGAAGCAACGCGAAGAACCUUACCAGGUCUUGACAUCCCGAUGCUAUUCUUAGAGAUAGGAAGUUACUUCGGUACAUCGGAGACAGGUGGUGCAUGGUUGUCGUCAGCUCGUGUCGUGAGAUGUUGGGUUAAGUCCCGCAACGAGCGCAACCCUUAUUGUUAGUUGCCAUCAUUAAGUUGGGCACUCUAGCGAGACUGCCGGUAAUAAACCGGAGGAAGGUGGGGAUGACGUCAAAUCAUCAUGCCCCUUAUGACCUGGGCUACACACGUGCUACAAUGGUCGGUACAACGAGUUGCGAGCCGGUGACGGCAAGCUAAUCUCUGAAAGCCGAUCCCAGUUCGGAUUGGAGGCUGCAACUCGCCUCCAUGAAGUCGGAAUCGCUAGUAAUCGCGGAUCAGCACGCCGCGGUGAAUACGUUCCCGGGCCUUGUACACACCGCCCGUCACACCACGAGA
rnacentral:rRNA from 1 species